ACAGACACCCCGGAAGUCACGUACCCACUCUGUAGGUGCCCCGGGGCACAGGCAAGCGGACGAGCCAGUUAUCCCUCAGAGCUCCUGCUGCCUCGCCCGCUUUCUCUCGGAAACGUGAAGUGUGGCCUCAGCUGAAAGUGAGGUGAGCGUGAGUGUGGACAUGUGUCAGUGUGCGUGUGCAUGGGAGGAGUGUGUGUGCGCUUGAUGACGAUGAUGGAGCCCAGUGAGCCACCGUCCGUGGAGUGUCAGAGCCUCCUAGGAUGGCCACGCCGAAGGUGCGGAAGGAGGCGGCUGGCCCAGCGUCAGACGUUUCCAGCAUCCGCGGGAGUGAAACGGAGGCUGGUGGGCCUCAUUCAAUCAGUUGAAUUCUUCAAGAGAGAAAAACUGAAGUCCCUUAGAAGGAAAGAGUUCUGCCUUCAGACUGUCUUUGAACUUAAGACUGUAGCGUCGACUCCUGCCGGAAUUUCCAGCCUGCUGGCCAGCUCUGCAGAUUCACACUUGCCAGCCUCCACAAUCGCAGCUGAGGCGGAGGAACCCUAAGGGCUCAUUGAGAUCAUGGAUUUGCCCUUCUAUGCAUUGAUGGAGCACCUGCUGCCCACAGCGUCUGUAUUUGGUGCUGGGAUGCUGAGGACACUGAGAUCUUCAAACAGAGGCUGCCACUCUAAGCAAACAGAUCCCGAGCCCUGGACUCUGAAGCUUGGGCCCAGUUCUCCUUUUCUCCGGGUUUCAGAUCCCACUGUGAAGUGAGGGGGCCCUUCUGAUUCAGGACCCGGGGAAGCCAGGGGCAUGAGCAUCGGUGCCUCUUCUCUAUUUCAAGGACCCUUCUGGGUGUAAAGUUCUCUGAGAUGCCUUACAUGGAUUCCCACCACUGCAAGAUAACCAUCGUAUGAGGCUUCAGGCUUGACCAAAUCUGACUGGCUGGCUGCCGGAGACACUGCUACCCAUCGGCCCUUAAUAAAUGGCCUCAUUUGAUCAUCAUGUGAUCUUCAGAAGCUGGGCUUGAUUAUCCUUGCCAAACAAAAUGCUGAAACCAAAAAUCUGAAAGGGACAUGACCCUAUGCCAGCCCACACCACAGUCUUGGUCAUCACUCCUGUUUCCAUGGUGUUAACAGCAGCAGUUACUUGGUUACGGAGAGCUUUUCCUUACGCCAGCACCCUAUCCAUAUCGCUUGGACACCCUUGGCAACCACGUUCUACUCCUCGUUUCUACGAGUUUGGCUAUUUUAAUACCUCAUCUAAGUGGAAUUGUGCUGCAUUUGUCCUUCUGUGACCGGCUCACCUCACGUAGCGUGCUGUUCUCCAGGUUCAUCCAUGUUAUCCUGUUCAGCAGGAUUUCCUUCUCUUCUGAAGCUGAAUCAUAAUCCAUCGCUAACGUUAUCUUGUAACUCUUCUAUUAAACUCUCUAUCUCCUUA
rnacentral:lncRNA from 1 species